UACUAGAGUAGCACUCGCAUAUCAAUAAGCGGAGGAAAAGAAACUAACAAGGAUUCCCCUAGUAACGGCGAGUGAAGCGGGAAGAGCUCAAAUUUGAAAUCUUAAAGGGUUUCCCUUUACGAAUUGUAGUUUAAAGAAGUGUUUUCUGUUGAGGUUUUGGUAAAAGUUCUUUGGAAUAGGACAUCAUAGAGGGUGAGAAUCCCGUAUUUGACCUUUACUUUCAACUUUGUGAUACACUUUCAAAGAGUCGGAUUGUUUGGGAAUGCAGUCCAAAAUGGGUGGUAAAUUUCAUCUAAAGCUAAAUAUUGGCGAGAGACCGAUAGCGAACAAGUACCGUGAGGGAAAGAUGAAAAGAACUUUGAAAAGAGAGUUAAACAGUACGUGAAAUUGUCAAAAGGGAAGCGUUUGACACCAGUGUUGUUUUUCUGAAAAUCAAUUAAAGAACUGUUUAUGCUAAGCUGUUUAGACUUUAUCAGCUAUCUGUUUAGUUUUGAGCUUUUCUUUAAUGCACUUUUCAGUUAACAAGUCAACAUCAAUUUCUUUUGCUGUAAAAAAGCUUGAGGAAGGUGGCUUGAGAUUCGUCUUAAGUGUUUAUAGCCUCUUGCCUAUGCAGUCGGAGAGAUUGAGGUCUGCAGCGUAGAUCCUUCGGGGCUAAAUGCAUUUGUGCUAAGUUAUAGCAUUUUAUAGACAACUUGUUGACUAUGAUUUGUCUUGUAGCUUACUCGCUUAUGUUAUUUUACCUACGCUUAGGAUGUUGAACUCUAUCACACACAG
rnacentral:rRNA from 1 species